rnacentral:rRNA from 1 species
CUAUUCAGAUAGCCAUGCACGUCUAGUACAAACUAAAUGAUGGUGAAACUGCAAAUGGCUCAUUACAACGGUUAUGAUGUACCCGGGAGUUCCGAUGGAUAUUUCCAGUAACACUAGAACUAAUACAUGUCCCUGCGUUUAUUAGUUUCGCACAGUCCGUCGCUGAGUCAUGGUAAACAGUUGAUCGACUCGACGUCCCGGAACAGUUUCCGCCCCAUCAGCUUCGAUGGUUGGGUAUUGGCCUACCAUUGCAACAACGGGUAACGAGGAAUUAGGGUUUGAUUUCGGAGAGGGAGCCUGAGAAACGGCUACCACAUCUACGGAUGGCAGCAGGCGCGCAAAUUACCCAAUGCAGACACUGUGAGGUAGUGACGAGAAAUAAUAAAGCGGGACUUCUGUUUCGCUAUUAUAAUGAGGAAUAACCAAAGGUCAUUCCGAUUAGCAACUGAUGGGAAAGUCUGGUGCCAGCAGCCGCGGUAAUACCAGCGUCAGUAGCAUAU